rnacentral:tRNA from 1 species
UCCCUGGUAGCUCAGAUGGUAAAGCAUCUGCCUACAAUGCGGGAGACCCGGGUUUGAUCCCUGGGUUGGGAA